AGUUAGUGCUAUUGUUCCAACAAUGAUAGCUACAAUAGUUUUUAAUACAUCAGAAAGUUCAUUGGAUACUAUGAAUAAAUGGCUCAAUGUGGUUUAGUCAAUUCAGAUUCCUUUUGCACUCAUUCCACUUCUUACAUUGGUGUUUAAAGAAAAGGUCAUGGGAACUUUUAGAAUAGGCCCUAUUGUAGAGGUAAGCUUUGUUUGCAUUCUAAUUUUUGUAAAAUUGAUUUUGAUGUAUAAUGAUUAUGUUUGGUAAUUUGUCUAAAAGUAAUUUCUUCCUUCAAAAAAUAAAUGAUUCUAAAUA